UUGGAGGGCAAGUCUGGUGCCAGCAGCCGCGGCAAUUCCAGCUCCAAUAGCGUAUAUUAAAGUUGUUGCAGUUAAAAAGCUCGUAGUUGAACUUCGGAAUCAAUGGAUUGGUCAUGCCGUUGGUAUGUACUGGUCAUAUUGGUUCUCACCUUCUAAGGAACCAUAAUGUCAUUCAUUUGAUGUUUUGGGGAAUUAGGACUGUUACCUUGAAAAAAUUAGAGUGUUUAAAGCAGGCUAACGCUUGAAUACAUUAGCAUGGAAUAAUGAAAUAGGACAUCGCAUUCUAUUUUGUUGGUUUCUAGGACCGAUGUAAUGAUUAAUAGGGAUAGUUGGGGGCAUUAGUAUUCAAUUGUCAGAGGUGAAAUUCUUGGAUUUAUUGAAGACUAACUACUGCGAAAGCAUUUGCCAAGGAUGUUUUCAUUAAUCAAGAACGAAAGUUAGGGGAUCGAAGACGAUCAGAUACCGUCGUAGUCUUAACCAUAAACUAUGCCGACUAGGGAUCGGAUGAUGUUGAUUUUUUAAUGAAUCAUUCGGCACCUUACGGGAAAC
rnacentral:rRNA from 2 species